rnacentral:misc_RNA from 1 species
AAGUCGUAACAAGGUUUCCGUAGGUGAACCUGCGGAAGGAUCAUUACAGAGUUCCUGCCCUCACGGGUAGAAACCCCACCCUUGUGUAUACUAUAUUGUUGCUUUGGCAGGCCGCCUCACGGCGUCGGCUCACGCUGGCUCGUGCCUGCCAGAGGACCCUAAACUUUGAAAUACAGUGUCGUCUGAGUACUAUUUAAUAGUUAAAACUUUCAACAACGGAUCUCUUGGUUCUG